GGCAAGGUGGCCGAGUGGUUAAGGCGCUAGUUUUAGGCUCAUGUCUGGAUCACUAGUUUCAUUGAUUCAUGGGUUCGAAUCCCAUCCUUGUCA